ACUCAGAUUCAUUCGACCCCUAGCCUCAGAUUCAUUCGACCCCUUACCUCCAUAUGCUGUAGGUGCGGCCCUUAAAAAAAAAUUAUUCUUUUGUUCAGCAAACAUUUAUUGAGCUCCACCAAUCCUGGGCCCCAGAGAUGAACAAGAUGGAUACGGUCACUUCCCUUAAGAAGUUUGGGUUUGAAUUGGGAAGCUUUUUGAGAAAGCCAGUGGCUGAAAAUCAGUUUAGAAGUGCUCUAGUGAACACUCAGGAAAUCUUUUGGAGCAGAGUCCCUGGUCUCAGAGAAGCUUCCUGAGGGGCUCCUCGUUGGUCCUCACUUAAAGGGUAACCAGAAGUCAGAGUCCUCCUACUGUGAGAUCCAAGUCGAGUACAUUCAUCUGACCAGAUGCUCCACUUCUUCCAGUGCACAUGUUCAGACCUCUGACUGACACCCAGAGGCAUUGGUGCCAUUGCCUAGUGCUCCACUAAACCACUAUUGGAUUUUCACUCCCUAUAUUUAGCAAUAGAAAGGUGAGAUUUUAAACAUUCUGACUUCUCUUUUCUCUUUUCUUUUUUUAUAAUAAUGCCAACUGAGGAUACUAGGGCCAUGUUACCUGCAUGUAACUUGAUUGGUUUUUGAGUCAGCCCCAGGAUGACUUUUUCUUUUUUAAUCAGUUGCAUAAUUGUGUCUAAUCAUGAUACUUCAUAUGUCCACAUUUGUAAAUAGUAUGUGUGUAUUGUAUUGUUUAUUUAAAUAAAUUCAGAAGUUAGUUAUCUGUGAUUUGGGGCAAAUAGGAAUGGUGGUGUCAGUCUUCCCUUUUGUAAGGGUUGGUUAACAAUAGCUGUUAUUUAUCUGAUUAAAUGUUUAAUGUUUAUGAAACACGUGUUUUAUUAGAAAUAUUAUUAUGAUCAUUCAUAUGAUCUGCAAAUCAUUAGUACCCAUUGUAGAUGAAUACAGCUGUGGGAAAGAUCACAUUUUUAUACAAAUCGUGACGUAGAUGGCUUUAACUUAUUUGAAUCCCACACUUUCAUUGCAGGCUUGUGGGGGUUACAGCCACUCAAAAAUAUCUAUUUUGCUUCCUUCCUCUCAGUUAAGACCAUCCCAUCAUCAAAGCGCUGUGCUAAUUUGGCCUCUUCUAGUUAAAGCCGAGAGGAGAAAUCCUUCUCUAAGGACCAAUACCAAAAACAAGCUUAUGUUUAAUUUAGAGGCGCUUUGAGUUUUGGAGGAGAGGAAACUGUAACUCCUCAGCAGACGUCAAGAGCACGCCCACUUUGUUUGAAAGCUCGUUGAAAAGAAUUAUGACUCGUUUUGUCCUUGGCACUACACCAAAGGCCAACGUUCCAUUUGGAUAACCCUUCAUUGUCAGUUUUAUUCUCAAGCUUCUUAGGGUAAGAAUCACAGGUAUAUAUGCAAUUUGACAAAACUAAAGGAAGCAAGUAGACAUGGGUGUGUUUUUUUGGUCUGUCCCUGCCUCUCUCCUCUUCCCAGUUUUGUCCAUCAUAAUGUACAUGGAAUUAAAUUUGAUUUCAUCAUCCAUUUCCUUUUCUCUACGCUGCUAGAGAAUCUGUGGGUUCUCACUCACUAGCUACAGCUGAUCUAGAGAAAACAGGUUGUGUCCCUCUUCUGAGAGCAGGACCAUCUCCAUGGCUCAGUGCCUUGUGUUUGUUAGCAGUUGGCAUUCUGGAAAAGACAUGAGCUAUAUUCCUGAGUGAUAAAAUACCUGGAUAAGGACCACUUCCUAAUUCCGUAGGAAUUCAGACAAAAUGAUUUGUGAAAUCUUCAAGGUCUGUAUCUAUGAGUUUUGGUUUGCUCUGGUCUUAUCUUGCUCUUGAGGUGUUUCUUUUUUUAUAUGCCUUUGUGUAUUUUCACUCUUUUCUCUUUCUUUCUGAAACACAGAUUCCGUGGUCGCAAAAUCAAAUCAGCCAUGUGGCUGAUGCUGUUUUGCCUUUUCUGCUUUGUUAAUUGUUCUGGGGCUUGUUCUGUUUACUGUUUUUGCAGACCUUAUUUGCCAUGGUCCUUGCCUUUCAUUCUCCUAGACCAUGUAUUUGAUUUCCCAGUGGGGAAAAGACUGCCUUUUCACUGGGUAAUUAGUUAUCUCAUUUCAAGAGGACCAAGUUUCUCCGAGAUGACUUUGUCACAUUUUAAAUGUCUGCUUGGGAGAGUGAAGCCCAUUUAGCUACAUGCUCAUCCAUGUGGUGGGAGAAACACAUGGUUAGUCACCAUGGAAAUUCUGAAGGGUUUGAAGGGCAGAAGAUAGUUAAUGAGACCAUUUAUACUCAGCUCUUGGGAGAUUAUGAGUUAGUUUAUAGUGAUAAGAAACCAAAGUAAGAGAGAAUAUUUUUCAGCCCCAUGAGGAAGUGGUAGUGGUGUUUAUUCCUAAAGUGUGUUUUCAUUUGCUGAAAGAGGACUCUGUGGCACUUUAUGUUGACUAAUUUUUGCAUAAUCUCUUGCUACGUAAGCAAGAACACCCCCCCC